UACGUAGGGUCCGAGCGUUGUCCGGAAUUAUUGGGCGUAAAGGGCUCGUAGGCGGUCUGUUGCGUCGGGAGUGAAAACUCAGGGCUUAACCCUGAGCCUGCUUCCGAUACGGGCAGACUAGAGGUAUGCAGGGGAGAACGGAAUUCCUGGUGUAGCGGUGAAAUGCGCAGAUAUCAGGAGGAACACCGGUGGCGAAGGCGGUUCUCUGGGCAUUACCUGAUGCUGAGGAGCGAAAGUGUGGGGAGCGAACAGG
rnacentral:rRNA from 1 species